rnacentral:rRNA from 1 species
UGCGCAGGCGGAAAAGUGUGUCAGGUGUGAAAUCCCAGGGCUUAACUCUGGAACUGCGCCUGAAACUGCUAUUCUUGAGUCUCGGAGAGGUAAGCGGAAUUUGUGGUGUAGCGGUGAAAUGCGUAGAUAUCACAAGGAACACCAAAGGCGAAGGCAGCUUACUGGACGAGCACUGACGCUCAUGCACGAAAGCGUGGGUAGCGAAAG